CUACGGGGCGCUGCAGUGAGGAAUAUUGCGCAAUGGGGGAAACCCUGACGCAGCGACGCCGCGUGGAUGAUGAAGGCCUUAGGGUCGUAAAAUCCUGUCAGGUGGGAAGAAGUGGAUAUAGAUUAAUACUCUAUUUCUUUGACGGUACCACCAAAGGAAGCACCGGCUAACUCCGUGCCAGCAGCCGCGGUAAUACGGAGGGUGCAAACGUUGUUCGGAAUUACUGGGCGUAAAGCGCGCGUAGGCGGUUUGUUAAGUCAGAUGUGAAAGUCCAUGGCUCAACUAUGGAAAUGCAUUUGAAACUGGCAGACUUGAGUACUGGAGGGGGUGAUGGAAUGCCCGGUGUAGAGGUGAAAUUCGUAGAUAUCGGGAGGAAUACCGGUGGCGAAGGCGAUCACCUGGCCAGAUACUGACGCUGAGGUGCGAAAGCGUGGGGAGCAAACAGGAUUAGAUACCCGUGUAGUC
rnacentral:rRNA from 1 species